rnacentral:rRNA from 1 species
CCUGAGAAACCCAAAAGAUCGAAUGGGGAGAUUCAUCGUCAGCGCGGCUGGCUUCCGUGCGGUUCGCGAUGGCCGGGACCUCGGUCUCGCGUCACGCGUCCGCUGCGGCAUGUCCGGCUGCGUCGUCGUGCACUUCUCCCCUAGUAGGACGUCGCGACCCGUUGGGUGUCGGACCGAUGGCCGUUUGGUCGCCUGUCUCGUCGCGUUCACGCGUGCACGUGGCAGACCGAAAUGGUCGAGCGUCCGGCUGCCCGGCGGUAUAGAACGCUUAUGAACGGUAAUGAGCCGCAUUAAGUGCGUUCAGGCUCGUCGGCAGGCUCGUCUCGCCCGGAUUUACGGACCUAGCGCCGUUGCCGGGUGCUUGGCGUGGCCGUUAGUCGACGAUGUCCUCGGACUGGCUCUAAAAUUCGAAAGGAUUACCGGUCGGCGACGCUACUGCUUUGGGUACUUUC